AAGAAAACAUCUGGACCAUAGAGUGCUCCCCCUGCUUUGCGGGGGGGGGGAGGGGCUAUGACCUGGCUGACUUGAACUAACUCUCUAGACCUCACAUUCCAACUACUGGGAUUCAGAUAUGUGCUGCUUCAUCUAAUGGAAACUUUGUCUAAACAUGUAUGAUAAUUUUUGGUGAGCUAUGGAAAACAGAAGAGAACUCGAUAUCCUCUCUUGAAGAUGAUCAUGCAAAACUAUAUCCAUGGAGGGCACGUUAAAAGGAUGUCAUGGGUCUUCAAACCAGUUCCAUCAAUGAAACACGGACUUUACUGGAGCUGAGAGUGAGUGUGAAGCAGAAAGAUUUUCCAGUUAAUAUUAAACAUGUGACAUGGAUGGCUGUGGUCUCUGUGCUUUUUUUUUUUUUUUAAAAGGUUUUAAG